rnacentral:snRNA from 1 species
AUACUUACUUGGUAGGGGAGAUACAAGAUCACAAAGGUGGUUUCCCAGGGCGAGGCUCUAUUCAUUACACUCCCAGGUGUGCUGACCCCUCCAAUUUCCUCCAAAUGUGGCGAAACACCUCAAUGCUAAUUUGUGUACAGUGCAGGAGCGAACUUUGUUCCUGCU